rnacentral:lncRNA from 1 species
GUGGCGACGAGGAUUCGGACAAUAUCGCCACUGGGAUAUAUCAUUGUGCAUGUAUGUAUGUACUGUGUAGAUAUGUAUGUAUGUAUGUAUGUAUGUAUGUAUGUAUGUAUGUAUGUAUGUAUGUAUGUAUGUGUGAGUGUCUGUGUGUGAGUGUUUAUUUAUGAUGGGCAGCAGUAAAAAGUCCACUUGUCAUCAAUUGUUGUCAACUUAACCCCUCUCUCCUUAAAGCUACGUAUUCGUCACACACACCUUUGUUUCCUUUCAUGGACGUUUUAAAAGUUACUUAUGUCUAUGUGAAUGUGUGUGGGGGGGAUGUGUGUGUAUUUACGAAAGUAUUUCUGCACCGUCGCGUGUGUAUCCCUGAAGUCGAUUUCGAGAGUUAUUCUCCACUUUUUAAACUCACAUAUUUGAAAUCUCAAUUUUUUUCUCUCCUGAACCAAAUUUCAAAUUUUGUAUCUCAAAAUGUAGCUUAAGAGGUGACCAAUCUAAAAUUGUAUAAACAUCAUCAAAUUUGGUAAAAAACUGAAUUAGUGACAAAGUUUAGAAGUAGUCGCGAGUGAGUAAAUGUUGACCUUAAGAAUAUCAUUCACACACGGAAGUGUGUGAAUGAUAUUUAUUACAAUAUAGAGUAUUCCAUGGAUUAGCGUGAAGUACCCGCUCCCUUCAACAGUUGAUUCACUAUCAAGUUUCCUCUUCUAUCGCUACAAUAGUGACUUUUGCAAUUUAUAGUUGGUUUGUCUCGUGCGCUUUAACUCAGGAACUCCCAAAAUUCUCUCCUCUUCCCUUUACUCAGAUCAUGUCCAUUGUAAGACCAAACCCUUCCUUCCCAGACCGUCAAUCCGCUGGAAUUCCCUUGUUUCCUAGAUUUUUUUUUCUGCUGCCGUCGACUUAUAACUAAUUAAGAGAAACAUUAAUCACAUCGAUUUUUUCAAUCUCGGAGUGGGGGGCAGCGAAAACCUUGGGCACAGCCUUUUCUCUAAACCAAACGAAUAAAAGAACAAAAACUCACAUCCAGUUGGGCUUAUAAUCAUAUUUUUCAUGUUUGAUGUACACCAACUUAGUUUCUGAUUGAUUCUAUUAAAUAACAUUCUGUAACGACGAGUUGUCGGGAAAUAUUUAUUAAUUAAGCCUAAGGAUGUUUAACUACAUUGGCGCUGAUGCUCAAUGAGGUAGCGAGUUGAAGAGAUUGAUUUUCUUACGUCAGCAUAAGAAACAUACGCCAAGCAAAGUGUUAGAAAGUGUUGAAAGAUAUUAGUUUGCUUUGUAAAAGGUAACGCGUCACGCUGCAACUAUUGGUUCAGGCUAGUAUCAUUUCACCUCGCUGCUUCUUGUAUCUUCAUUCUGAAACUACCUACUACCUCCUAUCGAGGUACCUCUACCCAAAAGAACCACUUUUUACUCUCCUCUCAUUAUUUUUGUAUUUCAUCCCUCAAAUCCUUCACUAAACGCACUUUAUCUAAUCACUUCACUCCUCUUCAGAACUGCAGCCCUCGGGAAUUACCUCCCCAUGCGCAUCGUGAAACCAAGUGACAUUGUUAUGCGGUUAAAACGUUCACUUCGCUUUUACGUAAAUCCAGAGAAGUGAUAUUAGGUAGCAUUCUUCAGCUUCGAACAUUUUAUAUUUAUUGGUUUGAUCAAAAGGAAGACAUUGUUAAGUCUAUGGCACUCCAUGAUCGAUAAGAUCGACGUGGUUAUUGUUUCUAAACUGAUGUUUAGUUCCAAAUUUAUACCGAAUAUCAUUUAGAAAUGAAGUUUUUAUGUAGUGUAAUUUAGAUGAGUCAGGCAAGAAAAUUGUGUGAAAAACCAGCAGAAAAUCUCUACAGAGUCACUGGCCUUGCUAGAAAUAGAAACCAAAUCUCCUUCAAAUCAUCCCUAUCAUUUUAGAAAAAGGAAGGGUGCAUUGAAUAAAAAAGUCGUAGAUAUAAUAUGUUUGAUAUUGGUCCUGAAUGCAAUGCCUUUGAUCAUAAAUCUGCUGGUUCACAGUUGACAAUAACAACAAUGAAAACAACAGACAGAAGAACAUAUUGGAUAACUUAGUUGAAUAUAUAAAAUAUAUAAAACAAGACCUUUAUGAUCACAUUUGGAUCGUCUUUGACCAAAACUGACCAAGGUUAAAAAUCUUAGUAAUUAUAAAAACCAAACAUCAUCAACGAUAAUAACAUAAUAACAAUGCUUCUUAAGAACAGAAGCCAUCUUGAUAGUUUUCAUUUUGGACAAAGUUCAAGACUAAUAUAAGCCUUGCAUACAAAGCUCACAGAAUUGAAGCCGAGAUCAAUAUAAAGCAAAGAAGAGGCAUCAACAACAACUGGAACAGUAACGCUAAAACGACAGCAAGCAGCUUUACAAGUUUCCUUGGUAGUUAUUGAUUUAAGGCUUAUCAAAUAGUAGACUAAUCCAUCAGGUUUGCGUUUUUGCUUUUGAUGUUUUUUCAAAAACCUUCAGUUUUAACCACACAUUUACACUUAAUUUAUUCUUGAAAUCACAAGGAGCCUUACAUAAUACCGCUGCUCAAACAUGGCUGUAUCAUCAGUGAUAGAAAAUAAUGCAAAGCUAAUGUUUUCAUGGACAGAAUGAUAACCCAUUGCCAGAAGUUAUUUUCUCAGGAAAAUCUACUACAUAUCUCCCUUAGUUAGACAAGAUGGGGUAAUCUUUCCGUGAAAAUAGCGAAAAUCCAGUAUUUCGGACUUGAACUCUACCCACAAGACAGUAGCUCAGUAAUUUACUGAAACAUUUAGCUUCUAAAAAGAAUACAUAGAAUACAUUAAGACAUCUGGUUGUAAUUAUGCUGCCUGCAGGAUUGUUCUAACAUCAAAUUAAGUUAGUCCAGAAUCACCAGCCAUUCAAUAAUUCUUAAACUCUGUUAUUUUUUUCUUGCACUAUUUCAGACAUCAAAAUGUCUUCUCACUUGCAAAUAUUGAUUUCGUUUCAAACUUUCCAAAGUUCUACAAACUUUGCAUUAUUGUCAACGUAGGAAAAUUUUCAAGUAAUGGUUUUAAAUUUUGACACAAGGCCAGCAAUUUCGGGUGGGUGGAGUAAGUCGAUUACAUCGAACCCAGUGCUCAACUGGUACUUAUAUCGCCCCCGAAAAGAUGAAAGACAAAGUAGACCUCGGUGGAAUUUGAACUCAAAACGUGAAGACGGAUGAAAAGCCGCUAAUCAUUUCGCCCGGCAUGCUAGCGAUUCUGCCUGCUCGCCGCUUUAGUUUUACAAGUAAUGGAAAACUUGACAUAUAUAAUAAGUGGAGUGGCAAGCCACUUAGAAUGUCUUAUGGUCCUGCAAAGGUGUGCGAGUGGUAAAAUAUGCAAUAACGAAAUCAAAUUCCACUUCUUAACUUCGUUAGAAUUCUUGUCUGUUAAAAUCAAGACUAGCACGCACGAUUUUGCACCUCUGAUAUGUCAUAGAUUCGUCAGUAUUCUUCUCAUUGUAUGUGUGUAUAUGCGUGUAAGUAUGUAUAUUCAUAUGUGUGUGUGUGUGUACAUGUAUGUAUAUCUAUGUAUACAGAGAGGGGGAGAUAAAUAGAUGGUUAGAGAGAGAGAGAGAUACCGACACAUACAUGUACACACACUGGCACACACACACACACACACACACACACACACACACACACACACACACACAGAGUUUUGUUCAACAAAACUUUUUUUAGUUCUACUCUGAAAUGUUUUGCAUGCAGGCGGCCAAGUUAAUGGUAGGCUUCUUAAGUAGAAUCCUAACUUGUUAUGUAGUCAAUAUUAAAUAAAACUAAGGCGGCAAGCUGGCAGAAUCGUUAGUACACCGGGCAAAAUACUUAUCAGCAUUUCGACCGUUCUUUCGUUCUGAGUUCAAAUUCCGCCGAGGUUAACGUUACUCUUCAUCCUUUCGGCAUCGAUUAGAUUUUAAUACUGGGAUCGAUGUAAUCGACUUAACUUAAUCCAUUUCCCGAAAUUGCUGGCCUUGUGCCAAAAUUUGAAACUUAUAUUAAAUAAAACUAGUUCAGACUGGUAUUUUUUUUAUGUGCGCAAUUUGAACUGAAAAGUAGAUAAAAGAGAAAUAAUACAAAGUGAAUCCAGAAUAACAGAAUGACAUAACCUGGUGACAUUCUGACGAUGCUGGAGACAAAUUGUCCGGCAACAAACUGUCCUGGCACGUUUUUACUAUUUGACUUACAACAUUCAUAAAAAUGUAUGGUGGAUAUUGCCAAUUGCGUCGGUUUCUUGUAAACAUUUCUAUUAAAAAACAGCUAUUCUGUCUGGUUGUUUUGUAAUCUUGUGUUUGUGUUCUUUUUUGGAGAAAUAUAUUUCAGUGAGAUUUCUUCUAUUCGUGUCCUGAGAGAGAAAAUAAAGAAACUUAUAACUUAUACAUAUUUGUCUAAAUUUUCUUCCAGAUUCUCCUUGCUUGACACAGAGCGGGAUCAUACCAC